AGUGUAGCUCAGAGGUAAGAGCAUUUGCCUGAGGUGCACAAGGUCCUGGGUUCAAAGCCUGGCACU
rfam:Dipodomys ordii contig_65888, whole genome shotgun sequence.